rnacentral:rRNA from 1 species
CAGCCGCCACGGUAAUACGUAGGUGGCAAGCGUUGUCCGGAAUUAUUGGGCGUAAAGGGCUCGCAGGCGGUUUCUUAAGUCUGAUGCGAAAGCCCCCGGCUCAACCGGGGAGGGUCAUUGGAUACUGGGAAACUUGAGUGCAGAAGAGGAGAGUGGAAUUCCACGUGUAGCGGUGAAAUGCGUAGAGAUGUGGAGGAACGCCAGUGGCGAAGGCGACUCUCUGGUCUGUAACUGACGCUGAGGAGCGAAAGCGUGGGGAGCGAACAGGAUUAGAUACCCCCGUAGUCCCUGUCUCUUAUAC